CCCGUGACCAUUCCAUUGCCGGAUCAGCUGGUUGAAUCUUCCAAUGGAAUUGUCAGUGGGAGCUCCGUAUUUUUAUUGGAGGGAGAUUUCAUGGAGUUAAACGACCUGAUCUCCCCUCUUACAGACAUGGAUUGAGUAGGAUAGACCUGCUUUUCAAGAGGUGCAUGCAAAUUCUACUUUGUACUCGGACCAAGUCUCCGUUCAGAAUCCCUAAAAUGGGUUACAAGAAGGGAAUAUCCUUUAAUGAAGCAAGAGAAAAUGCAAAUUACAAAGAAAGCUGCAAAUUCAUGUGGGGUCGAUUUUACAUUUGUACUCAGACAAAGUUAGCAAUCAGAAUCCCUAUUCUUAAAUGGGUUGCAAGAAGGGAAUAUCAUUUAAUGAAGCAAGAGAAAAUGAAAACUUCUGAAGAAAAAAACUUCAAAUUAAUGUGGCUAUGCAUUUCUACUAUUGUAGUCGGAUCAAGUCACUGUUGAGGAUCCCAUUAAAUUAUAAAGAAACAAACUGCAAAUUUAUGUGGCUAUGCUAUUCUACUUUUGUACUCUGAUCAAGUUACCGCUCAGUAUCCCAUUCUUAAAAGGGUUACAAGAAUGGGAACAUCAUUUAAUUAAGCAAGAGAAAGUGAAAUUAUGAAGAUUCAACUUGGAAGUUAAUGUGGGCUCAGGUGUUUUGGCUGGUGAACACCACUAGUCUAAGGCACUACUUGUCUAGUGAAUUGGAAAGCGAUCCAUUGGAUACGACACAAAAUCCAAGUGAGAUGCGAGGUAAAUGAAGUACCAGUUGAACUCAUUUGACUAAACCUCUUCAACCAUCUCCUUGAUGGGGCAGAGGUGGU